CAAAAAGAUGCAAAAGCCAUUAGUGACGAUACUUCAAACCAGUUGGUUAGGUGAUGGUCAGACAUGAAUCGUUUGUAUAGGUGAAAAGCUCUGUGAUAUGCGUGUUGAGUGCUAGUGGAUAACGCUAAUUUUGUGAGAGUGUGGCUGUGCUGAAGUAGUUCAUCUACUCCAUGACAAGGUCUUGGAAGGUUGGAGCUGGGGUUGCCAUACGAGCUGCCGAGGGUAGGGACCGUCUGAAAGC